rnacentral:rRNA from 1 species
AUACAGAGGGUGCGAGCGUUAAUCGGAAUUACUGGGCGUAAAGCGCGCGUAGGCGGCUUAUUAAGUCAGAUGUGAAAUCCCCGGGCUCAACCUGGGAACUGCAUCUGAUACUGGUAAGCUAGAGUUUUGGAGAGGGAAGUAGAAUUUCAGGUGUAGCGGUGAAAUGCAUAGAGAUCUGAAGGAAUACCAGUGGCGAAGGCGACUUCCUGGCCAAAAGCUGACGCUGAGGUGCGAAAGCGUGGGUAGCAAACGGGAUUAGAUACCCUAGUAGUCC